CGCAUGGGGGUGGGCAGGACUCCUCCCCACGCCCCACCCCCAGCCUCCAUUGAGCAGUUGAGAGGGCAGCUGGUGGCUCAGACAUUCCAGGCUGCGCUAGUGUCUGGCUGUUGAUGCUUCAUGGUUUCUUGUGAGGAGCCACUCUGGCUAUUUCAGGAGUGGGGUGUUCUUGAGUGCCCUCUCCCUUCCAGGGAGCUCCCAGCCAGAGUGAUUGCUCAGCGCCUCAACCUCUACCCUCCCACCAGUCUCGUCCCAGGCUCCCAGGAAGGUGUGGUCAGACUCAGCAGCUGAGGUACAGCGAGCGGCUGCAUGGAAGGCUGGACUGGAUGAGUUCUGGAGCCUAAAGUUGUCCGUGGGCCAAGCCUUGGGCUCUGGUUAUGUCCCCAAAUCGCCUGCCCGGGUUCCUUCAGAAGACUGCUGCCACCAAGUCCUAUGGAAGAAGAGCCAGAGCUGGCAGGUUCUAACAGCAGCACAACCAGCUGGUGGUCAGACUGUGGGGCAGCCAACUCAGCCAUCUUUGGGCCACCUUCUUUAUGGGGUUUGUGGUCUUGUAGCCACCCUUCUUGGGCUGGCACCUAUUCACCAGUCUUUUGGAUAGUUAUGUCAAUGCAUGAGAGUGUUUUGGACAUUAGGAGGAGCCGUUUUUGAACACGUGCUCAUGGGAUACAGCUCGUAUGUAUGCCUUUCCCAUACUCCCUCCCCAGCUGUGCUCCUGCUCAGAAUCCUACGCCAUGCCUCAUUGAGGUAUCCUGUGGGCAAAGCUGGAUCCUGCUCUGAAUAAAAGCUAAUCAUGGAGAAAAAGAGUCUUGAUAAAAUGGGGUUUUCGUGGGACGGUCGGAUGGCUCCGUUGGUUAGAGCACGAGCUCUUAACAACAGAGUUGCAGAUUCGAUUCCCACAUGGGCCAGUGAGCUGCGCCCUCUACAGCUAGAUUGAAG